CAGAAUACCAACAUCUAUGUUCCAGUGGCUCUCUGCUUCAGAGAGGUUCCCUUUGCCUUUUCUUUUACUCGGAACUCCUCCACUUUAUUUCCACCUCCACCCGAGGAAAUAGUGUGCUUCAUUCACACAGACAGUCUGGAACUCUUGCCAAUUUGGGCUUUUUAGGCCAAAAAAUGAUGUAAACAGAGAGCAUGACUACUUGCUUAAAAAUGGAGUCUUUGCAGACCGCUCAAUUCCUGUACCUAUUGCUCAGGAAACAUUAUAGAAGAGGAGUGUUAAGUCUGUAAGAAGCUCAGGAUCAUACAGCUUUUGUAGAAUUGCGUCUCCCAGCAAUGUCAGAAGCUACGCCAAAAAGUCUCACCAACAUAACUGGCUAAACCUGAGCCGAACGAAGCCAAUACCAAACAUGACAAAGUGGAGGUAUGUGGUUCCCAUCUGUAAUGCCUACACCGAGUAAAUGAGGCAGGAGGAAGUGCGAACUGGACAUUUGAGCUAUAUGGGUUCUAAGGAUUCAGAGUGAGUCCCCGUUGUAAGAAAACCAAAACUCAGUAAAAAAUGGAAAGACCUAUGAGAUCUGAGAUAUGACAGAGCCAAGAGCUAUUCAACUGCAGGGAAUUUAUUUCUUCACCCCAAUUAGUUUGCUAUUGUGUUCUGAUAGCAGCAGAUAUUCCUAAAUGAGUUUUGGUUGGACUAAUUACCUCCCUACUUCAAGAUCUUAUUGUGGAGUUCUGAGAGCCUUUGUCCAUCAGCUUAAAUGAAAAAUAAAUAAAUAAAUAAACAAACAAAUAGAUAAAUCUCUUUUAAUUAUCGUGCUAAAAAAGUAAGAAAUAAUCAUUAGAGAAUAGUUAAACAUUUUUUCCUUCUCCAUUCCACUCUCUCUUCCGUUUUUCACCCCUUAAGUUAAUCAAAACUUGUAUGGAAUUCAUUCCGAAUAUAUUAAGAAUAAACUUAGUUUUCUUAGUCAGAAUCCUGGCAGAACAUUAUGGUCAUCCUUACAGGGCAUUUUUCUCCCCGAGUUUCAGAAUA
rnacentral:sRNA from 1 species